rnacentral:rRNA from 1 species
CCCUUAGAUGUUCUGGGCCGCACGCGCGCUACACUGAUGCAUUCAACGAGCCUAUCCUUGACCGACAGGUCCGGGUAAUCUUUGAAUCUGCAUCGUGACGGGGAUAGAUUAUUGCAAUUAUUAAUCUUCAACGAGGAAUGCCUAGUAGGCGCAAGUCAUCAGCUUGCGUCGAUUACGUCCCUGCCCUUUGUACACACCGCCCGUCGCUCCUACCGAUUGGGUGUGCUGGUGAAGUGUUCGGAUCGGCCGUUUGUCGCGGUUUCCGCGGCUCGUGGCUGAGAAGUUCAUUAAACCCUCCCACCUAGAGGAAGGAGAAGUCGUAACA